rnacentral:rRNA from 1 species
AGUCGAACGGCAGCACGGGGCAACCUGGUGGCGAGUGGCGAACGGGUGAGUAAUAUAUCGGAACGUACCCUGGAGUGGGGGAUAACGUAGCGAAAGUUACGCUAAUACCGCAUACGAUCUAAGGAUGAAAGUGGGGGAUCGCAAGACCUCAUGCUCCUGGAGCGGCCGAUAUCUGAUUAGCUAGUUGGUAGGGUAAAAGCCUACCAAGGCUUCGAUCAGUAGCUGGUCUGAGAGGACGACCAGCCACACUGGAACUGAGACACGGUCCAGACUCCUACGGGAGGCAGCAGUGGGGAAUUUUGGACAAUGGGCGCAAGCCUGAUCCAGCAAUGCCGCGUGAGUGAAGAAGGCCUUCGGGUUGUAAAGCUCUUUUGUCAGGGAAGAAACGGUGCGGGCUAAUAUCCUGCGCUAAUGACGGUACCUGAAGAAUAAGCACCGGCUAACUACGUGCCAGCAGCCGCGGUAAUACGUAGGGUGCAAGCGUUAAUCGGAAUUACUGGGCGUAAAGCGUGCGCAGGCGGUUUUGUAAGUUUGUCGUGAAAGCCCCGGGCUCAACCUGGGAAUUGCGAUGAAGACUGCAAGGCUUGAAUCUGGCAGAGGGGGGUAGAAUUCCACGUGUAGCAGUGAAAUGCGUAGAGAUGUGGAGGAACACCGAUGGCGAAGGCAGCCCCCUGGGUCAAGAUUGACGCUCAUGCACGAAAGCGUGGGGAGCAAACAGGAUUAGAUACCCUGGUAGUCCACGCCCUAAACGAUGUCUACUAGUUGUCGGGUUUUAAUUAACUUGGUAACGCAGCUAACGCGUGAAGUAGACCGCCUGGGGAGUACGGUCGCAAGAUUAAAACUCAAAGGAAUUGAC